rfam:Ictidomys tridecemlineatus contig081521, whole genome shotgun sequence.
UUUUUAGUGUAAGUAUGUCCCAUGUAAUAUUUGGGCCAUACUUAUACUUAAA